rnacentral:rRNA from 1 species
CUUACCAUGCAGUCGAACGGUAAGGCUCCUUCGGGGGUACACGAGUGGCGAACGGGUGAGUAACACGUGAGUAACCUGCCCUUGACUUCGGGAUAACAUUUGGAAACAGAUGCUAAUACCGGAUAUUCAACUUUGAACACAUGUUUUUGGUUGGAAAGUUCCGGCGGUCAAGGAUGGACUCGCGGCCUAUCAGCUUGUUGGUGAGGUAAUGGCUCACCAAGGCGUCGACGGGUAGCCGGCCUGAGAGGGCGACCGGCCACAUUGGGACUGAGAUACGGCCCAAACUCCUACGGGAGGCAGCAGUGGGGAAUAUUGCACAAUGGGCGAAAGCCUGAUGCAGCAACGCCGCGUGCGGGAUGACGGCCUUCGGGUUGUAAACCGCUUUCAUCCAUGACGAAGCUUUUUGUGACGGUAGUGGGAGAAGAAGCACCGGCUAACUACGUGCCAGCAGCCGCGGUGAUACGUAGGGUGCGAGCGUUGUCCGGAUUUAUUGGGCGUAAAGAGCUUGUAGGCGGUUUGUCACGUCGGGAGUGAAAACUCAGGGCUUAACCCUGAGCCUGCUUCUGAUACGGGCAGACUUGAGGAAGGUAGGGGAGAAUGGAAUUCCUGGUGGAGCGGUGGAAUGCGCAGAUAUCAGGAGGAACACCAGUGGCGAAGGCGGUUCUCUGGACCUUUCCUGACGCUGAGAAGCGAAAGCGUGGGGAGCAAACAGGCUUAGAUACCCUGGUAGUCCACGCCGUAAACGGUGGGUACUAGGUGUGGGGGACAUUCCACGUUCUCCGUGCCGCAGCUAACGCAUUAAGUACCCCGCCUGGGGAGUACGGUCGCAGACAAA